rnacentral:rRNA from 1 species
AUACGGAGGGUGCAAGCGUUAUUCGGAAUCACUGGGCGUAAAGGACGCGUAGGCGGGUUGGCAAGUCAGAUGUGAAAUCCUACAGCUUAACUGUAGAACUGCAUUUGAAACUGCUAACCUAGAGUAUGGGAGGGGGAGAUGGAAUUAGUGGUGUGGGGGUAAAAUCCGUAGAUAUCACUAGGAAUACCGAAAGCGAAGGCGAUCUCCUGGAACAUAACUGACGCUAAGGCGUGAAAGCGUGGGGAUCAAACCGGAGUAGAAACCCUUGUAGUCC